AGCUUUUCGAAUCCGUGUGAAGAUUUCGUCAGACACUAACUCAUCUGGGCUGAUCAGACUUCCAAGAUAAGUAAAGUU
rfam:Schistosoma haematobium scaffold1277_7, whole genome shotgun sequence.